GUAAUAAUCAUACUUGAGAAAUUUUAAAUGUCAAAAAAAUACUACUUUCUGUAUAAAUGGCCAUUGCUGCAUGGUUUAUUUUAGUUUCAAAACUGGCCAAGAAUAGCCUUGUUUUUAAAAUUGGAAAUAGUUCCAAUUUACAAUAAUGUUGCAAGAAUGGUAAAAUAAACCCCAUAUACAUUUCACCACUGUACAGCAAGUGUUAACGUUCUGCCACAUUUGCUUUAUCACAGAAGUGUAACUUGCUUACAGCUUGCCUCUUGAUCCCCAAAUACUUAAGCAUAUUUCUUUCCAAAACAAGGACCUUUAGUUUGUCCCGGUGUUGGUGGUGGUAACUUUGACCACAUGGAUGCAGUGAUGCAGAAUCACAUUUAUUUUUUUAGUUAACAAAAGUUUUAAUUGUUGAUUAAUUUUAAUGUGGGGAAAUUGUGUAUGAAUAUGUAAAAUACCCAUAAAAUUUGCCAUCAUAGAGGACAGUUUUUAAGUAUGCAGUUGGUGGCAAUACAGUAUUCACUUUGUUGUGCAACAAUCACUACUUCCCAUCUCCAGAAAUCUCAGCUUGCAAAACUGAAACUACCCUUUGGACAGUCACUACUUUCUCCCCUCUCCCCUUAGCCUGGCAAGCGCCAUUCCACUUUGUCUCCAAUUUUGGCUGCUCUGGGUAUCUCAUGUCUUUGAUCCAUUUUGAGUUAACUUGCAUUUGAUUUAAGGUAAUUGCUCUGGCUAGGACUUCUAGUACUGUUUGAUUAGAAGUCUCAAAAUCAGGCAUCCUGGGACUUCCCUGGUGGUCCAGUUGUUAAGAAUCCGCCUGCAAUGCAAGGGAUGUGGGGUUGAUUGCUGGUCGGGGAGCUAAGACCUCACAUGCCACAGAGCAACAAAGCCUGGGCACGACAAAUAGCCUGUGCACUACAACGAAAGAUCCUGCCUGCUGCCACUAAGACCAGAAGCAGCCACAUCAGUCAAUCCAAUAAAUAUUUUUUCAAUGGGCAUCCUUAAUUUCUCCUGAUCUUAGAGGAAGAGCUUUCAGUUUUCCACCACAGAGUAUGAUGUUAUCUGUGGGCUUGUCAUGUAUGGCCUUUAUUAUCUUGUUAUAGUUUCCUGCCGUUCAGUUUGUUGAAUGUUUUUUUAUCAUGAAAAGAUGUUGAAUUUUGUCAAAUACUUUUUCUGCAUCAGUUAAGAUGGUCAUGUGGUUUUUACCCUUUGUUUUGUUAAUGUGAUGUAUUACACUUAUUGAU